rnacentral:rRNA from 1 species
GACGAACGCUGGCGGCGUGCCUAAUACAUGCAAGUAGAACGCUGAAGGAGGAGCUUGCUUCUCUGGAUGAGUUGCGAACGGGUGAGUAACGCGUAGGUAACCUGCCUGGUAGCGGGGGAUAACUAUUGGAAACGAUAGCUAAUACCGCAUAAUAGCAGUUGUUGCAUGACAACUGUUUGAAAGGUGCAAUUGCACCACUACCAGAUGGACCUGCGUUGUAUUAGCUAGUUGGUGGGGUAACGGCUCACCAAGGCGACGAUACAUAGCCGACCUGAGAGGGUGAUCGGCCACACUGGGACUGAGACACGGCCCAGACUCCUACGGGAGGCAGCAGUAGGGAAUCUUCGGCAAUGGACGGAAGUCUGACCGAGCAACGCCGCGUGAGUGAAGAAGGUUUUCGGAUCGUAAAGCUCUGUUGUAAGAGAAGAACGAGUGUGAGAGUGGAAAGUUCACACUGUGACGGUACCUUACCAGAAAGGGACGGCUAACUACGUG